rnacentral:rRNA from 1 species
UACGUAGGGUGCAAGCGUUGUCCGGAAUUAUUGGGCGUAAAGAGCUCGUAGGCGGUUUGUUGCGUCGGCUGUGAAAUCCCGAGGCUCAACCUCGGGUCUGCAGUCGAUACGAGCAAACUAGAGUGUUGCAGGGGAGACUGGAAUUCCUGGUGUAGCGGUGGAAUGCGCAGAUAUCAGGAGGAACACCGGUGGCGGAAGGCGGCGAUCUGGGUAGAUACUGACGCUGGAGGUGCGAAAGCCGUGGGGAGCAAACAGG